GGAAUGCAUUUUGUGAAUCUGUGUUUGUAUGUGUAAGGGCUGCAAGGUGUGUUUCUGUGUAUGUAAGGGAUGAAGUGUGUGAGUCUGUAAGGGGUGCAUUGAGUGUGUGUAAGGAAUGCAUUGUGUGUUUCUGUGUGUGCAAGGGAUGCAUUGUGUGUAAGGGUUGCAUUGCGUGUGUGUGUGUGUGUGUGUGUAUGUAAUGCAUUGUGUGUGUAAUGCAUUGUGUGUUUUUCUGUGUGCAAGGGGUUCAUUGUCUUUGUGUGUAAGGGGUGCACUGUGUGUG
rnacentral:lncRNA from 1 species